CCGUGACAACUUUUCUGCUGAUCUAAUCUCCUCACAACAGAAAAAUUCCCCAUUUUGGACCGACCCUAUCUCUCCCGCGACGCCGGCGAACGCCGCCUCCUCUCCUCGACGCCGGCGACCGCCGCCUCCUCUCCUCAACGCCGGCGACCGCCGUCUCCUCUCCGCGAUGUCGCCGACCGCCGUCUCCUCUCCCGCCUCCUCUUAUUCCACAUGGUGGAGCCUCAGCGCAGUCGUACCCCUGGCAGUGACUGGACCGGAGACUCGCGG
rnacentral:lncRNA from 1 species